CAUAACAUAGCUAACACAUAUCAGAGACCAGAUCUGAACCCAGGUCUUCCUGACGCACUUUCAGUACUCUAUCCAUUCUGCAGCUGCUUCCAUCUCCUACUUCUUUUGCCCUCAUCCCCAUAUCUUCAUUGUCAAUAUUUUAUCCCAUUUUCCCCAUCUCCCACCUCUCCAUCCCCAUGUAAUAUACAUGACCCUGACAGCCUUGCUCCUCACCCUGUCUCCCAUAAAGAUUCAUACCCAAAGGCCCAUUCAUGCCUUCUUCUCCACUGUCUUUAGGCCCACUGCCCCAAAAGUCGUUCCCGAGAGAAAGAAGCUGUCUUAUCUUUUUUCCAGGAGGGGGCCUAGUCAGUCAGCCCUGUGCCCUUGACCACGCGCCGCCAGAGUCGCCAGGGCUAAAAGGCAGGUAGUGUCUCCCCUGAACUCAGCGAUGCAACGGUGCCACAUCUGGCCGAACGUUGGACCACUUGUCGCUAAGUAGCUCAUUCACCGGCGCAGCUGUCACCAUAACAACGCGAGUGAGCGAACUGGGGGCUCGGGGUGGGGGUGGGGGGUGGCGGAGGGAGAAAGGAAGAAGGGAAGGAAGGAGGGAAGAAGGGAGGGAAGGAGGGCGGCGGCUGGUAGGGGGGAGAAGAUCAGACUCGGGAGUGGCCAACAACCCCAGCCCGCCCCGAGGACCCCCUAGGGCUCAGCACCAGCAACCCUCGCUCCAUGCAGACCCUGUGGCCGGAGAGGGUCAAGAAAGACACAGCAGCGGCCAGCCGGGAGAACGGAGAUCAUGCCCCGAGAGUGGCAGAGAAGAGAUAGUGGCGAAGCUGAGCACCCCCGGCAAGGCCGGGGGCCCUAGACUCUAUGGAAGCUGGGGAGCGCGCCCGAGCCGCCGCGCAGCGCAGCCGGAGCAGAAGCCCAAGCAGCAGCACGAGCAAAAGCUGGGGCAGGACCGAGAGCAGACACAGGAACAGGAGCAGAAGAAGGCGGGGGGCCUCUGCCGGGCCCAGCCCAGGGACCUCCAGAGCCAGACAGCUAGGCGGCCACCAGGCAGCCCGGGACGGGCACUAAAACCCCAAGCCCUUGACCACUGGCUGCCCAGCCCCGCCCGGGGGAAUGGGAGGCGGCUAGACUGUCCGAGGAAGGAGAACUGGAGACGAGCGGCCGCUGUCCCAGGGGAAGUCCCGCUUCAGCUGAAAAGAGAAGCGACUGAGGAGGAGAGCAGGGGAGAACGGACUGGGAGCCAGCGCAGUCCGGCGGCGGCGGCGCAGCGCAACGCAGCGCAGCCCCCCUCCCUCCGCGGGCGCGCACCCUCGUUCACACGGACACACACACGGACACGGACACGGGCACUCUCCGUCACACACGCACACGCGCGGAGCCCCAGCUCCUUCAUUUCAGCUUCGCCCGCUCGCCUGAUAGAACACCGUCGUUACUUAACCCUCCGGUUUUGGAUGUCAUGGGUAACAGCUUCUCCAGUAUUCCCGCCCUGCCCCGGGGCAGCCCAAACAGGGGACCCCGGGUCCAUCGCCAGCACCUGCAAGGUAAGGCAGAGCCAUGGCGGGGAGGUGGGGGCACUGUGCACUGGGGACUGGGCGAAA
ensembl:lncRNA